UCGGGAAUAUUGCGCAAUGGAGGAAACUCUGACGCAGUGACGCCGCGUAUAGGAAGAAGGUUUUCGGAUUGUAAACUAUUGUCGUUAGGGAAGAGAAAGGACAGUACCUAAGGAGGAAGCUCCGGCUAACUACGUGCCAGCAGCCGCGGUAAUACGUAGGGAGCGAGCGUUAUCCGGAAUUAUUGGGUGUAAAGGGUGCGUAGACGGGAGAACAAGUUAGUUGUGAAAUACCUCGGCUCAACUGAGGAACUGCAACUAAAACUGUACUUCUUGAGUGCAGGAGAGGUAAGUGGAAUUCCUAGUGUAGCGGUGAAAUGCGUAGAUAUUAGGAGGAACACCAGUGGCGAAGGCGACUUACUGGACUGUAACUGACGUUGAGGCACGAAAGUGUGGGGAGCAAACA
rnacentral:rRNA from 1 species